rnacentral:rRNA from 1 species
GACGAACGCUGGCGGCGUGCCUAAUACAUGCAAGUUGAGCGCUGAAGGUUGGUACUUGUACCAACUGGAUGAGCAGCGAACGGGUGAGUAACGCGUGGGGAAUCUGCCUUUGAGCGGGGGACAACAUUUGGAAACGAAUGCUAAUACCGCAUAAAAACUUUAAACACAAGUUUUAAGUUUGAAAGAUGCAAUUGCAUCACUCAAAGAUGAUCCCGCGUUGUAUUAGCUAGUUGGUGAGGUAAAGGCUCACCAAGGCGAUGAUACAUAGCCGACCUGAGAGGGGGGUCGGCCACAUUGGGACUGAGACACGGCCCAAACUCCUACGGGAGGCAGCAGUAGGGAAACUUCGGCAAAGGACGAAAGUCUGACCGGGCAACGCCGCGUGAGUGAAGAAGGUUUUCGGAUCGGAAAACUCUUUUGGUAGAGAAGAACGUUGGUGAGAGUGGAAAGCUCAUCAAGUGACGGUAACUACCCAGAAAGGGACGGCCAACUACGUG